CUACGGGAGGCUCCAGUGGGGAAUAUUGCACAAUGGUGGAAACUCUGAUGCAGCAACGCCGCGUGGAGGAUGACACUUUUCGGAGCGUAAACUCCUUUUAUAUAGGAAGAAGAUGACGGUACUAUAUGAAUAAGCGCCGGCUAACUCCGUGCCAGCAGCCGCGGUAAUACGGAGGGCGCAAGCGUUACUCGGAAUCACUGGGCGUAAAGAGCGUGUAGGCGGAUUAAAACGUCAGAAGUGAAAUCCUAUAGCUUAACUAUAGAACUGCUUCUGAAACUCUUAAUCUAGAAUAUGGGAGAGGUAGAUGGAAUUUCUGGUGUAGGGGUAAAAUCCGUAGAGAUCAGAAGGAAUACCGAUUGCGAAGGCGAUCUACUAGAACAUUAUUGACGCUGAGACGCGAAAGCGUGGGGAGCAAACAGGAUUAGAUACCCGCGUAGUC
rnacentral:rRNA from 1 species